UACGUAGGGGGCGAGCGUUGUUCGGAAUUACUGGGCGUAAAGGGCGCGUAGGCGGCCUUCUAAGUCGAACGUGAAAUCCCUGGGCUCAACCCAGGAACUGCGUCCGAUACUGGGAGGCUUGAAUCCGGGAGAGGGAUGCGGAAUUCCAGGUGUAGCGGUGAAAUGCGUAGAUAUCUGGAGGAAUACCGGUGGCGAAGGCGGCAUCCUGGACCGACAUUGACGCUGAGGAGCGAAAGCUAGGGGAGCAAACGGG
rnacentral:rRNA from 1 species